CUACGGGAGGCUCCAGUGAGGAAUUUUGCGCAAUGGGCGAAAGCCUGACGCAGCAACGCCGCGUGAGUGAUGAAGGCCUUCGGGUCGUAAAGCUCUGUCAAGUGGGAAGAACCUAUGUAAUGUUAAUAUCAUUAUAUACUGACGGUACCACUGAAGGAAGCACCGGCUAACUCCGUGCCAGCAGCCGCGGUAAUAGGGGGGGUGCAAGCGUUAUUCGGAAUCAUUGGGCGUAAAGGGCACGUAGGCGGCCUGGUAAGUCAGAUGUGAAAGCCCGGGGCUUAACCCCGGAAGUGCAUUUGAUACUGUCAGGCUUGAGUAUGGGAGAGGGAAGUGGAAUUCCUGGUGUAGAGGUGAAAUUCGUAGAUAUCAGGAGGAACACCGGUGGCGAAGGCGACUUCCUGGACCAAUACUGACGCUGAGGUGCGAAGGCGUGGGUAGCAAACAGGAUUAGAUAACCGAGUAGUC
rnacentral:rRNA from 1 species